rnacentral:rRNA from 1 species
UUUUAAUUGAAGGCUUGUAUGAACGGUCGGACAAAGGAUAAGCUGUCUCUGUUUUUGUUUUUGAACUUGUCUUUCAAGUGAAAAGACUUGAAUAAAUUUAAGGGACGAUAAGACCCUAUAAAUCUUUAUAUUAAUUUAUAUUUAUUUUAAUUUUUAAUGUAAACGUAAAAUAAAUUUAUUUGGUAUUAUAUUGGGGUGAUAAGAAUAAUAAAUAAACUGUUCUAAAUAAAACAAAGUUGUUUGGUUAAAUAAUAGAUCCUUUCUAGAGAUUAAGAGUUUAAGUUACUUUAGGGAUAACAGCGUUAUUUUUUUUGAGAGUUCUAAUCGAAAAAAAAGUUUGCGACCUCGAUGUUGAAUUAAAAUUUCUUCAUAGUGCAGGAGCUAUGAUAGAGAGUCUGUUCGACUUUUAAAAUUUUACGUGAUCU